UACGUAGGGUGCGAGCGUUAAUCGGAAUUACUGGGCGUAAAGCGUGCGCAGGCGGUUUUGUAAGUCAGAUGUGAAAUCCCCGGGCUCAACCUGGGAACUGCGUUUGAAACUACAAGGCUAGAGUGUAGCAGAGGGGGGUGGAAUUCCACGUGUAGCAGUGAAAUGCGUAGAGAUGUGGAGGAACACCGAUGGCGAAGGCAGCCCCCUGGGUCAAGAUUGACGCUCAUGCACGAAAGCGUGGGGAGCAAACAGG
rnacentral:rRNA from 1 species